GAUGAGCGCUGGCGGCGUGCCUAAUACAUGCAAGUCGAGCGAACAGACGAGGAGCUUGCUCCUCUGACGUUAGCGGCGGACGGGUGAGUAACACGUGGAUAACCUACCUAUAAGACUGGGAUAACUUCGGGAAACCGGAGCUAAUACCGGAUAAUAUAUUGAACCGCAUGGUUCAAUAGUGAAAGACGGUUUUGCUGUCACUUAUAGAUGGAUCCGCGCCGCAUUAGCUAGUUGGUAAAGUAACGGCUUACCAAGGCAACGAUGCGUAGCCGACCUGAGAGGGUGAUCGGCCACACUGGAACUGAGACACGGUCCAGACUCCUACGGGAGGCAGCAGUAGGGAAUCUUCCGCAAUGGGCGAAAGCUUGACGGAGCAACGCCGCGUGAGUGAUGAAGGUCUUCGGAUCGUAAAACUCUGUUAUUAGGGAAGAACAAAUGUGUAAGUAACUAUGCACGUCUUGACGGUACCUAAUCAGAAAGCCACGGCUAACUACGUG
rnacentral:rRNA from 1 species